rnacentral:rRNA from 1 species
AAUCCAUAGGUUAAUGAGGCGAACCGGGGGAACUGAAACAUCUAAGUACCCCGAGGAAAAGAAAUCAACCGAGAUUCCCCCAGUAGCGGCGAGCGAACGGGGAGGAGCCCAGAGCCUGAAUCAGCAUGUGUGUUAGUGGAAGCGUCUGGAAAGGCGCGCGAUACAGGGUGACAGCCCCGUACACAAAAGCGCAUGUGCUGUGAGCUCGAUGAGUAGGGCGGGACACGUGGUAUCCUGUCUGAAUAUGGGGGGACCAUCCUCCAAGGCUAAAUACUCCUGACUGACCGAUAGUGAACCAGUACCGUGAGGGAAAGGCGAAAAGAACCCCGGCGAGGGGAGUGAAAAAGAACCUGAAACCGUGUACGUACAAGCAGUGGGAGCACCCUUUGGGUGUGACUGCGUACCUUUUGUAUAAUGGGUCAGCGACUUAUAUUCUGUAGCAAGGUUAACCGAAUAGGGGAGCCGGAGGGAAACCGAGUCUUAACCGGGCGUUAAGUUGCAGGGUAUAGACCCGAAACCCGGUGAUCUAGCCAUGGGCAGGUUGAAGGUUGGGUAACACUAACUGGAGGACCGAACCGACUAAUGUUGAAAAAUUAGCGGAUGACCUGUGGCUGGGGGUGAAAGGCCAAUCAAACCGGGAGAUAGCUGGUUCUCCCCGAAAGCUAUUUAGGUAGCGCCUCGUGAAUUCAUCUCCGGGGGUAGAGCACUGUUUCGGCUAGGGGGCCAUCCCGGCUUACCAACCCGAUGCAAACUGCGAAUACCGGAGAAUGUUAUCACGGGAGACACACGGCGGGUGCUAACGUCCGUCGUGAAGAGGGAAACAACCCAGACCGCCAGCUAAGGUCCCAAAGUCAUGGUUAAGUGGGAAACGAUGUGGGAAGGCCCAGACAGCCAGGAUGUUGGCUUAGAAGCAGCCAUCAUUUAAAGAAAGCGUAAUAGCUCACUGGUCGAGUCGGCCUGCGCGGAAGAUGUAACGGGGCUAAACCAUGCACCGAAGCUGCGGCAGCGACACUGUGUGUUGUUGGGUAGGGGAGCGUUCUGUAAGCCUGUGAAGGUGUGUCGUGAGGCAUGCUGGAGGUAUCAGAAGUGCGAAUGCUGACAUAAGUAACGAUAAAGCGGGUGAAAAGCCCG